rnacentral:tRNA from 1 species
GUCAGGAUGGCCGAGCGGUCUAAGGCGCUGCGUUCAGGUCGCAGUCUCCCCUGGAGGCAUGGGUUCAAAUCCCACUUCUGACA